CGAACGCUGGCGGCAGGCUUAACACAUGCAAGUCGAGCGAGAUCUUCGGAUCUAGCGGCGGACGGGUGAGUAACGCGUGGGAACGUGCCCUUUGCUACGGAAUAGUCCCGGGAAACUGGGUUUAAUACCGUAUACGCCCUUCGGGGGAAAGAUUUAUCGGCAAAGGAUCGGCCCGCGUUGGAUUAGGUAGUUGGUGGGGUAAUGGCCUACCAAGCCGACGAUCCAUAGCUGGUUUGAGAGGAUGAUCAGCCACACUGGGACUGAGACACGGCCCAGACUCCUACGGGAGGCAGCAGUGGGGAAUCUUAGACAAUGGGGGCAACCCUGAUCUAGCCAUGCCGCGUGAGUGAUGAAGGCCUUAGGGUUGUAAAGCUCUUUCAGCUGGGAAGAUAAUGAC
rnacentral:rRNA from 1 species